rnacentral:piRNA from 1 species
CACAGAAUUAUAUUUGGAGACAAAUGA